AAGCAUAUGACGAGUUUAUCGGAUUCCCCUUCAAGGCUUCAUGGGUGAUGUAAACUCCGACUAUCUGAUGUG
rfam:Spinacia oleracea cultivar SynViroflay scaffold16897.con0011.1, whole genome shotgun sequence.